UGCUGAGGACGACCUCGGCGCCGCGAAGGCAAAUAUCCUGGGGACGACCCCG
rfam:Hyphomicrobium sp. SCN 65-11 ABS54_C0293, whole genome shotgun sequence.